UUGAGCCGUGUGAUGGGAAACUAUCACGCACGGUUCUUAGGGGACGGAGUGGCAGCAAUGCCACUCUGUUACCCGAC
rnacentral:ncRNA from 1 species